UUACUCUGUUGUGUCUUUUUGAUGCAGGGAAUUCAUGCCUGUGGGCUUUAAAACCCGGUCCAAGGAAUGUUGAAAACAGACAACAUGCUGAUGAAGACCAAAUUGAAAAGGGGAUAUUGGAUCAAUGCAUGGUUUCCAGGAUAGAAGUGCAGCAGGGAAUGAGUUUGUUUUGUUGAUUCUGGCGCCCCCUAGCUGGGGGAGAGGGCAGGACUUGGCUCUGUGCUGAUGUUGACCAAAUACUCAUUGGAUUUGAGACUUGCCAGAGACUUACAGCUGGGCAGAGAGGCCAAAGAACCACACAGUCCCAACAUAGAGGGUGUGUUGUCUUUAGCUGGGGGAAAACAAGAAAAAACUACAGUAAAGGUCUCUUCAUCUGUUACCAGGGGAAUGUAAGGAUGCUCGGCCACGCUCUCAUCACUGGCACUGCUGUCCACACUGCGGCGGUCCUCUUCAUCGCUCAUGUAGUCAUAACUGCAGGAGACACAUCAACAGUGCUU